rnacentral:rRNA from 1 species
UACAUGGGGUGCAAACGUUGCUCGGAAUUAUUGGGCGUAAAGAGCGUGUAGGCGGCCCGAUAAGUCCGCCGUGAAAGUCCAGGGCUCAACCCUGGGAUGCCGGUGGAUACUGUCGGGCUAGAGUUCGGAAGAGGCAAGUGGAAUUCCUGGUGUAGCGGUGAAAUGCGCAGAUAUCAGGAGGAACACCUAUGGCGAAGGCAGCUUGCUGGGACGACACUGACGCUGAGCCGCGAAAGCCAGGGGAGCGAACGGG